GCCAUGGGCAGGUUGAAGGUUGGGUAACACUAACUGGAGGACCGAACCGACUAAUGUUGAAAAAUUAGCGGAUGACCUGUGGCUGGGGGUGAAAGGCCAAUCAAACCGGGAGAUAGCUGGUUCUCCCCGAAAGCUAUUUAGGUAGCGCCUCGUGAAUUCAUCUCCGGGGGUAGAGCACUGUUUCGGCUAGGGGGCCAUCCCGGCUUACCAACCCGAUGCAAACUGCGAAUACCGGAGAAUGUUAUCACGGGAGACACACGGCGGGUGCUAACGUCCGUCGUGAAGAGGGAAACAACCCAGACCGCCAGCUAAGGUCCCAAAGUCAUGGUUAAGUGGGAAACGAUGUGGGAAGGCCCAGACAGCCAGGAUGUUGGCUUAGAAGCAGCCAUCAUUUAAAGAAAGCGUAAUAGCUCACUGGUCGAGUCGGCCUGCGCGGAAGAUGUAACGGGGCUAAACCAUGCACCGAAGCUGCGGCAGCGACGCUGAUGCGUUGUUGGGUAGGGGAGCGUUCUGUAAGCCUGUGAAGGUGGCCUGUGAGGGUUGCUGGAGGUAUCAGAAGUGCGAAUGCUGACAUAAGUAACGAUAAAGCGGGUGAAAAGCCCGCUCGCCGGAAGACCAAGGGUUCCUGUCCAACGUUAAUCGGGGCAGGGUGAGUCGACCCCUAAGGCGAGGCCGAAAGGCGUAGUCGAUGGGAAACGGGUUAAUAUUCCCGUACUUGGUGUUACUGCGAAGGGGGGACGGAGAAGGCUAUGUUGGCCGGGCGACGGUUGUCCCGGUUUAAGCGUGUAGGUGUGUGUUCCAGGUAAAUCCGGUUCACUUUAACACUGAGGCGUGACGACGAGGCACUACGGUGCUGAAGCAACAAAUGCCCUGCUUCCAGGAAAAGCCUCUAAGCAUCAGGUAACAUCAAAUCGUACCCCAAACCGACACAGGUGGUCAGGUAGAGAAUACCAAGGCGCUUGAGAGAACUCGGGUGAAGGAACUAGGCAAAAUGGUGCCGUAACUUCGGGAGAAGGCACGCUGACACGUAGGUGAAGUGAUUUACUCACGGAGCUGAAGUCAGUCGAAGAUACCAGCUGGCUGCAACUGUUUAUUAAAAACACAGCACUGUGCAAACACGAAAGUGGACGUAUACGGUGUGACGCCUGCCCGGUGCCGGAAGGUUAAUUGAUGGGGUCAGCGCAAGCGAAGCUCCUGAUCGAAGCCCCGGUAAACGGCGGCCGUAACUAUAACGGUCCUAAGGUAGCGAAAUUCCUUGUCGGGUAAGUUCCGACCUGCACGAAUGGCGUAAUGAUGGCCAGGCUGUCUCCACCCGAGACUCAGUGAAAUUGAACUCGCUGUGAAGAUGCAGUGUACCCGCGGCAAGACGGAAAGACCCCGUGAACCUUUACUAUAGCUUGACACUGAACAUUGAGCCUUGAUGUGUAGGAUAGGUGGGAGGCUUUGAAGCGUGGACGCCAGUCUGCGUGGAGCCGGCCUUGAAAUACCACCCUUUAAUGUUU
rnacentral:rRNA from 1 species